GUGCAAAACAGUUUGGUCUUUCUUCAACAAUUUAUGGAGGCUAAAUCGCUUGAAGACGAAGACGAAGACAAGUGGCUUAUUUUUGGUCCAUGACUCCAAUAUGUGUCUUCAAGUUCAACUACAAAUGAUGCUUUUUGAGGAAAAAGAAAGCUUUGAAGAAGAAAUUAAAUCUCAUGAGAUUGAUGAAAUAUUGAUGAAAAAGAGCUCGCUUGGUGUUACCGUAGAUGAUGUUGCUAAAAGUCUUCAAGAGUUGGACAGAGAAAAAGUCAGAAUCAAGAAUAGAUCAUUGGCAGUUGUAUACAUGCUAGUUGGGUUUAAACAUGCCGUUGACCUCAAAUUCUUUUAUCACUAUCUCUGUGGAAUUAAAUGUUAUGAUUUGAGACUCACAGCCUAAAAAAGAUAAACUUCGCUAUAGAAUUUUUGCCAACCCAUGUCCCGAAUAACUUUAGUGAUUUCCGGCGGCAAUCCCUCGUAUCUUGUUUCGAAUCCCCUCUCUAUGCAGCCCCGAUUCUUGUUGCGUCUUUCAUACUAUUUUUCUGCGUCUUUCGAUACAAACUGAGUGUUGUCGUAAUCGAGAGGAGGUACUGCUGGGGCAUGGAGUUCUACCGGUGUAGGGAUAGGUGGGCGGUUGCUGGAGCUCGCAGCGACCUUGAUCCGGUUAGCAUUCACCUUCCGCGGCUGUCAAGAAAAUAAGAGAGGUCAUGAAAAGUAUAACCUUUUCGGAUGCCCGUGGAUAUUUCAGCUUUUAAGGCUAUGCCCGAGUCGGGAAUGAGGCUAGCCAAUUUUGAAGAUUGAGGUCAAUAUAUUCCACGGUGGUUUUAUUGACAGUUUUAGGAAACUACUAGGGCAACCUUGUGGCGUCCAUGUUUGGAGUUCAUGAGGUCGGCCGAGUUUAUUGUGCGACCUACUUUAGCUCCUUCGGUGGGGGAGAGAGAACAUGACUAUUAUAAACAUCUCGGUUGGUGUGAGGAUCUUGUGGAUCUUCUCAGGCUAGUUGGGUUUUUGAUGGCUAGAGACCCGAAGAAGCAUAUUAACUCAUCUUGGCUCAAGUAUGCCGUUGACCUCAAAUUCUUUGAUCAGCAUCCCUAUGGAAUUGAAACGUUAAGAUUUGACGCUCACAAGCCUAAAGAAGAUAAACUUUGCGGAAAUGUAGGAGUAAAGGUGUUAAGCGAACAAGAGAGGUCGUGAAAAGUAUAACCUUUUCGGAUGCCCGUAAAUAUUUCAGACAUAGGCUUUUGAGGCUAUGCCCGAGUCGGGAAGGAGGCUAGCUAAUUUUGAAGAUUGAGGUCAACAUAUUCCCCAAUGGUUUCAUUGAUUGUUUUAGUAAACUACUAGGGCAACCUUGUGGCGUCCGUGUUUGGAGUUCAUGAGGUCGGCCGAGCAGAGGAGAGUGAAUAUGACUAUUAUCAACGUCUUGGUAGGUGUGAGGAUAUUGUGGAUCUUCUCGGGCGUAAGGGAAAGAUAAAAAGAAGCAUUCGAGCUAGUUCAAAAUAUGCCUUUGAAACCUAAUAUAUGUCUCGCCGUCUCUUUGAGCUGGGUCCCUUGGUUGCAGCUCCAUUCGUGGAGAUGGCAAAAAUAUAUGCGUCGGAUGGAAAGUGGGACGGAGUUGCGGCAAUAAGAAAAAUGGUGAAAUGUAACAAUGUGAAGAAAUCUGUAGGUAAAAACAUUGUCCAAGUGAAUGGGAAGCAUCAUAUUUCUGCAUUUGAAGCAUCAUGUUUCUGCAGUUGAAGAUAAGGGUCAUUCUGAAAGUUUUGUGUAUAUAUGAAAUGUCGGAUAGUUUGAUGUUGCUGCUGAAAGGAGAAUCAUCAGAAUCCGAGUUAAAUCUGGAACAUGAAUUAGCAUGAAGUUAUUGCAAGAUUAGGUAGGAAAUAUAGAAACUACAAAACAAUAAAGAUGAAACACCUAAAAUCAAUUCAGAAAAAUAAGUUGAGGAAAUAAUAUAUUAUUCUCAGCUAUCUCACACAUUCUGGUUUGACAAUCAAUUUUAGGAUUGUCGGAUGGUUAUAAAAGUAUUCAAUGGAACCAAAUAAGAUGAGAAAUCUGACAAUAUACGGGACAUUUUGCACUGUGCUCCAUGUUGGAUUCUCAAUUACUUUUUUUUUUUUUGGUUGUCCUUU